CAGCAGCCGCGGUAAUACGUAGGGUGCGAGCGUUAAUCGGAUUUACUGGGCGUAAAGCGUGCGCAGGCGGCCCGUUAAGACAGGUGUGAAAUCCCUGGUCUCAACCUAGGAAUUGCGCUUGUGACUGGCGGGCUCGAGUACGGUAGAGGGGGGUGGAAUUCCUGGUGUAGCAGUGAAAUGCGUAGAGAUCAGGAGGAACACCGAUGGCGAAGGCAGCCCCCUGGGCCUGUACUGACGCUCAUGCACGAAAGCGUGGGGAGCAAACAGGAUUAGAUCCCCUGGUAGUCCACGCCCUAAACGAUGGGUACUAGCCGUUUGGUGCGCGAUAGCGCUGAGUGGCGAAGCUAACGCGUGAAGUACCCCGCCUGGGGAGUACGGCCGCAAGGUUGAAACUUAAAGGAAUUGGCGGG
rnacentral:rRNA from 1 species